rnacentral:pre_miRNA from 1 species
AUUCAAAUUUAUUUCAAGUUCAUGCAUGCAACCCAAAUUUAUAAUUGUCCACACCUGUGCCAAAUUUAAAUUUCCCGCAUUAGGUAAGUAGAUAUUUUGUCUCCAUUCAGGCAACCAAAAAAAACUGAAAAAAUCUAUAUUGCUAAAUUUGACACAGGUGGACAAAUAUAAAUUGAGGUUGCAUGCAUGAACUUGAAAUACGCUCUAGC